CAGGUCAGGCGGGGCUACCCGCUGAGUUUAAGCAUAUCAAUAAGCGGAGGAAAAGAAACUAACAAGGAUUCCCCUAGUAACGGCGAGCGAACCGG
rnacentral:rRNA from 9 species